GAUGUCAAGUCAUCAUGGCCUUUAUGCCCAGGGCUACACACGUGCUACAAUGGGGAGGACAAAGGGCUGCCACUUGGCAACAAGGCGCUAAUCCCAAAAACCUCCUCUCAGUUCAGAUUGGAGUCUGCAACUCGACUCCAUGAAGCUGGAAUCGCUAGUAAUCGUAGAUCAGCAACGCUACGGUGAAUACGUUCCCGGACCUUGCACACACCGCCCGUCAAGCCAUGGAAGCCGGGUGUACCUAAAGUCGGUAACCGCAAGGAGCCGCCUAGGGUAAAACUGGUGACUGGGGCUAAGUCGUAACAAGGUAACC
rnacentral:rRNA from 1 species